rnacentral:lncRNA from 1 species
UUGUCUUGCUACUAUAGUAGAUAUUCAUGUAUGCUUUCUGUUCUAGUUACAGUAGCGGUAGCCGUUUAUUCAGUAUAGUUCUUACUUUCUUUCAGUUUAUCGCUAUUGUAUAUCUGCUCAUUACUUUGUUUAUUUCCACUGACCCAUGUUGUUGUAUAGUUCUUCCUGAUCCGGUGAGUACUCCUCGCCUUCUUCGGCUUGCGGUACUCACUGGGAGGGGAGACAUGUUUACAUGUUCUCACCUCCCCCACCAUUUUUCAGGUAUCGCGGGCGUUGAGUAGUGGGACGAGACGUGAGGUACGUGUGUAGAGGACGAUAGAGCUUCCGACCCAGGUUUUUUCGGUAUAGUUAUUACCCUUAGUAUUUCAGUUGUUAUAGCUUAGACAGUUAUAUGGUUCAGUAUUCUUUUUAUUACAUUUGAAAAUAUGGAUUUUCGUGAAUGUAAUAAAUGAAUUUUGUGAAAUAAAAGAUUUUCUACCCCUCGUGGUAGCGUUUUUAAAGAAUAAAGGUUUCCGUGUAGGAAACUGUUUUUAAAAGGUUUUCUGUGGAUUUAUGUUUAAAUAUCGAUUAUAUAAAUGUGAACCUGUGAUGUGAAUGGUAUAUGAAUAUAUAGUUGUUGGUUAUUUGUAUGUUCAUUUGGUUGUGGUUGUACCUGGGUUACUUCUUGUACUUGUGUGACGCCGUGCAAAUACAGGGGAGACUCUGUCCGUGUGAACAGUGGAUUCCCUGUGUUUGUGGCGGAUCUGGCAUACUCUGGGGUCAGGCUUUUCAAAAAAAAAAAAAAAAAAAAUUUCAGACG